rnacentral:rRNA from 1 species
GACAGAGGUGCCGAGCGUUAGGCGGAAUCACUGGGCUUAAAGCGUGUGUAGGCGGAUGCCUAAGUACCUUGUGAAAUCCCCCGGCUUAACCGGGGAACUGCUUGGUAUACUGGGUGUCUUGAGCCACUUAGGGGCGACCGGAACAAACGGUGGAGCGGUGAAAUGCGUAGAGAUCGGAAAGAACACCAACGGCGAAAGCACUCUGCUGGGCCGACACUGACACUGAGAGACGAAAGCUAGGGGAGCGAAUGGG